CCUACGGGUGGCAGCAGUGAGGAAUAUUGGUCAAUGGGCGAUAGCCUGAACCAGCCAAGUCGCGUGAGGGAGUACUGCCCUAUGGGUUGUAAACCUCUUUUGUCGGGGAGCAAAAGCCGGACGUGUCCGGCUUUGAGAGUACCCGAAGAAAAAGCAUCGGCUAACUCCGGGCCAGCAGCCGCGGUAAUACGGAGGAUGCGAGCGUUAUCCGGAUUUAUUGGGUUUAAAGGGUGCGCAGGGGGAUUUUUAAGUCAGCGGGAAAAUCGUGGGGCUAAACCCCAUCCAGCCGUUGAAACUGGGGAUCUAGAGUGUGCGAGAGGUAUGCGGAAUGCGUGGUGUAGCGGUGAAAUGCAUAGAUAUCACGCAGAACCCCGAUUGCGAAGGCAGCCUACCGGUGCACAACUGACGCUCAGGCACGAAAGCGUGGGUAUCGAACAGGAUUAGAUACCCUGGUAGUC
rnacentral:rRNA from 1 species